UUGUUGUUAGCCAAUUAAUAGUCAUCAAAGCGGCAAUAGGCUACAGUCAUAGAGCCUCCAUGUGUGGCAAAAGUUAGGAGAUAUCUAAUCAAUGGAAGAUGGAAUUAAAAUGAUGGAAUUCAAAGUUAAAGGAGAUGCUAGGCUACAACGACCAAGAGCCAACAGGUUUAGUGUUUGAGGUGCUGGCUCCUCGCUUCUCCUCCUGCACGCGCUCAGACAUGGUGUGGCAGAGGGUGUGCUUGAAGCAGCUGCAGAACGUCACAGAGUGCUGGCUGGAGAGAGUGCUCACUGGGCCAGUGCAGGCUGUCAACAGGCCUGACAGAGGUCAAGGAUCAUGGGGAACCUGGUGUUGAAGAACAAAAAGUCCCAGUUUGUCAUCACCCAUAAACUGCUGCUGCUCUAAUACAAGUAUGAGUGAGAUGGUGAACUGAUGGUGAACUGGGCAGUCAGUCAUUCAUUCUGUACUAGGAGUGUAGUCAAUCGAUCAUUGUUGGAAUUGAAAAAGCCUCUGUUAUAGCUGAAGUCUUCAACUUCAUUCCCAGACUUGUGCUUGGAGGAUUAUUCUAGGCUACCUUGCUCAAGGACAGGGAGAGGCCACUACUGAUACAGAGCUGCUGCAAUGCAUGCUGGGAGGAAUGCAGAGCCACCUGGAGAGCAGCGUAGUGCGUGUGAGGCGCAUGGGCAUGGUUGUGGGGGAGUGUUUCUGCUCCUGCAUGGACAUCAAUGGAGCCAAGCUCAAAUUCGAGUAUGAGAAGGAUGAGGAGACCAAGGAGCUGCUCUCACUGAUGACUCCACUGGCUGAUGAACAAACAGAAGCUCUUGAUGAACAUCUUGGAUCUUCCUCAAGAGGUUAAAGGGCAGACUGUACCCUCAGGCGGUACGAUCCUAGGCUGCUUCAGUGGCCCAUAAAACAGGAGCUGACCCAGACUCAGAGCUGGA